rnacentral:rRNA from 1 species
ACGGCAGCGCGGGGCAACCUGGCGGCGAGUGGCGAACGGGUGAGUAAUACAUCGGAACGUACCCUGUGAUGGGGGAUAACUACGCGAAAGCGUAGCUAAUACCGCAUACGACCUACGGGUGAAAGUGGGGGAUCGCAAGACCUCACGUCAUAGGAGCGGCCGAUGGCGGAUUAGCUAGUUGGUGAGGUAAAGGCUUACCAAGGCGACGAUCCGUAGCUGGUCUGAGAGGACGACCAGCCACACUGGGACUGAGACACGGCCCAGACUCCUACGGGAGGCAGCAGUGGGGAAUCUUGGACAAUGGGCGAAAGCCUGAUCCAGCAAUGCCGCGUGUGGGAUGAAGGCCUUCGGGUUGUAAACCACUUUUGGCGGGGGAGAAAUGCCGGGUGCUAAUACCAUCCGGUGAUGACGGUACCCGCAGAAUAAGCACCGGCUAACUACGUGCCAGCAGCCGCGGUAAUACGUAGGGUGCGAGCGUUAAUCGGAAUUACUGGGCGUAAAGCGUGCGCAGGCGGUUUGGUAAGACAGAUGUGAAAUUCCCGGGCUUAACCUGGGAACUGCAUUUGUGACUGCCAGGCUAGAGUGCGGCAGAGGGGAGUGGAAUUCCGCGUGUAGCAGUGAAAUGCGUAGAUAUGCGGAGGAACACCGAUGGCGAAGGCAACUCCCCUGGGCCUGCACUGACGCUCAUGCACGAAAGCGUGGGGAGCAAACAGGAUUUAGAAUACCCUGGUAGUCCACGGCCCUAAACGAUGUCUACUAGUUGUUGGGACGGGAAUACUGUUCCGUAACCGAGCUUACGCGUGAAGAUUGAUCGCCUGG